rnacentral:rRNA from 1 species
GACAUAGGUGGCGAACGUUAUCCGGAAUUAUUGGGCGUAAAGGAUGCGUAGAUGGUAGAAUAAGUUACUGGUUGAUGCCAAACUCAAUUUGACGGAAGCUGGUAAUACUGUUUUGCUAGAGGACAGGAGAGGUUGAUGGAAUUCUGUGUGGAGCGGUGAAAUGCGUUGAUCUACAGAGGAACACCAAAAAAGGCGAAGGCAGUCAACUGUCCUGUUCCUGACAUUGAGGCAUGAAAGCGUGGGGAGCAAACCGG